AUGCAUUACUUUCCACAUCCGUUAUCACUGAUGGUAAAUCCCUAUGUCCUCACCAUACAAUCUAUCGCAGCACUCCCUGCCACCUCCAAGUCUGUACGAUUUAGGACACCUGCGGCAGAAAAAAUCCAGGGACAAAGGAUUGACCUAUCUGAUUGCGAAGCUACAUCGCCUCUGCCACCAGCUGGUACGCUGCGUAAACGCGCCAUGGAUGCGCAUGAUUCUAUGUCAAACAGCAAGAAAUCAUCAUCGCGAUCAUAUGGCAAUGUGCUCAAUUACUUCAAGUCCACUUUAAUGUCCAUCGCUCAAAUGUGUGCAGACCUUCCAGUAAACACUCCAUUUACUGUCUUUGGACAGUGCUGCACCAAUCUACACAAGCGAAAAUACAUAUUCCAGCAUGGAUUUGCAACCGAUCCAUGGGUGAAUGGUGUUGUACCACAUCUGCCACAUAUGCCAACAACGGACCUUAUUGUCGCCCACUUCACACAGCUGCCAACGCAACACCUGCAGAGUCCACGGUUGAUCUGCGUUACCGGGACAGCGUUGCGCAAACAUCUAGUUAGGAUGCAUCACCUUCACCACGAGCUUGUCUCUAUAAUCACGAGGAGCCAAUCCUCCAAGGUUCUCGAUCAAUGUCUGACCUCUUAUGCAUUCACCUUUUUCUAG
rnacentral:rRNA from 1 species